ACUCAAAGGAAUUGACGGGGGCCCGCACAAGCGGAGGAACAUGUGGUUUAAUUCGAUGAUACGCGAGGAACCUUACCCGGGCUUGAAAUGCAACCGACCGACUAUGAAAGUAGUCUUCCAGCAAUGGCGGUUGUGUAGGUGCUGCAUGGUUGUCGUCAGCUCGUGCCGUGAGGUGUCGGCUUAAGUGCCAUAACGAGCGCAACCCUUGCCGUUAGUUACUAACAGGUUAUGCUGAGGACUCUAGCGGGACUGCCAUCGUAAGAUGCGAGGAAGGUGGGGAUGACGUCAAAUCAGCACGGCCCUUAUGUCCGGGGCGACACACGUGUUACAAUGGGUGGUACAGCGGGCGGCUACCGGGCGACCGGAUGCCAAUCUCUUAAAUCCACUCUCAGUUCGGAUCGGAGUCUGCAACUCGACUCCGUGAAGCUGGAUUCGCUAGUAAUCGCGCAUCAGCCACGGCGCGGUGAAUACGUUCCCGGGCCUUGUACACACCGCCCGU
rnacentral:rRNA from 1 species